rnacentral:rRNA from 1 species
UAGCGAGCUUAACCGAAUAGGGGAGGCGUAGGGAAACCGAGUCUUAAUAGGGCGAACAGUUGCUGGGUGUAGACCCGAAACCGAGUGAUCUAUCCAUGGCCAGGUUGAAGGUGCCGUAACAGGUACUGGAGGACCGAACCCACGCAUGUUGCAAAAUGCGGGGAUGAGCUGUGGAUAGGGGUGAAAGGCUAAACAAACUCGGAGAUAGCUGGUUCUCCCCGAAAACUAUUUAGGUAGUGCCUCGAGCAAGACACUGAUGGGGGUAAAGCACUGUUAUGGCUAGGGGGUUAUUGCAACUUACCAACCCAUGGCAAACUAAGAAUACCAUCAAGUGGUUCCUCGGGAGACAGACAGCGGGUGCUAACGUCCGUUGUCAAGAGGGAAACAACCCAGACCGCCAGCUAAGGUCCCAAAUGAUAGAUUAAGUGGUAAACGAAGUGGGAAGGCCCAGACAGCCAGGAUGUUGGCUUAGAAGCAGCCAUCAUUUAAAGAAAGCGUAAUAGCUCACUGGUCGAGUCGUCCUGCGCGGAAGAUGUAACGGGGCUCAAAUCUAUAACCGAAGCUGCGGAUGCCAGUUUACUGGCAUGGUAGGGGAGCGUUCUGUAGGCCGAUGAAGGUGCAUUGUAAAGUGUGCUGGAGGUAUCAGAAGUGCGAAUGUUGACAUGAGUAGCGAUAAAGCGGGUGAAAAGCCCGCUCGCCGAAAGCCCAAGGUUUCCUACGCAACGUUCAUCGGCGUAGGGUGAGUCGGCCCCUAAGGCGAGGCAGAAAUGCGUAGUCGAUGGGAAACAGGUUAAUAUUCCUGUACUUGAUUCAAAUGCGAUGUGGGGACGGAGAAGGUUAGGUUAGCAAGCUGUUGGAAUAGCUUGUUUAAGCCGGUAGGUGGAAGACUUAGGCAAAUCCGGGUCUUCUUAACACCGAGAAGUGAUGACGAGUGUCUACGGACAUGAAGUAACCGAUACCACGCUUCCAGGAAAAGCCACUAAGCUUCAGUUUGAAUUGAACCGUACCGCAAACCGACACAGGUGGGCAGGAUGAGAAUUCUAAGGCGCUUGAGAGAACUCGGGAGAAGGAACUCGGCAAAUUGAUACCGUAACUUCGGGAGAAGGUAUGCCCUCUAAGGUUAAGGACUUGCUCCGUAAGCCCUGGAGGGUCGCAGAGAAUAGGUGGCUGCGACUGUUUAUUAAAAACACAGCACUCUGCUAACACGAAAGUGGACGUAUAGGGUGUGACGCCUGCCCGGUGCUGGAAGGUUAAUUGAAGAUGUGAGAGCAUCGGAUCGAAGCCCCAGUAAACGGCGGCCGUAACUAUAACGGUCCUAAGGUAGCGAAAUUCCUUGUCGGGUAAGUUCCGACCCGCACGAAUGGCGUAACGAUGGCCACACUGUCUCCUCCCGAGACUCAGCGAAGUUGAAGUGGUUGUGAAGAUGCAAUCUACCCGCUGCUAGACGGAAAGACCCCGUGAACCUUUACUGUAGCUUUGCAUUGGACUUUGAAGUCACUUGUGUAGGAUAGGUGGGAGGCUUAGAAGCAGAGACGCCAGUCUCUGUGGAGCCGUCCUUGAAAUACCACCCUGGUGUCUUUGAGGUUCUAACCCAGACCCGUAAUCCGGGUCGGGGACCGUGCAUGGUAGGCAGUUUGACUGGGGCGGUCUCCUCCCAAAGAGUAACGGAGGAGUUCGAAGGUUACCUAGGUCCGGUCGGAAAUCGGACUGAUAGUGCAAUGGCAAAAGGUAGCUUAACUGCGAGACCGACAAGUCGAGCAGGUGCGAAAGCAGGACAUAGUGAUCCGGUGGUUCUGUAUGGAAGGGCCAUCGCUCAACGGAUAAAAGGUACUCCGGGGAUAACAGGCUGAUU